AGAGAGAGAGAGAGAGAGAGAGAGAGAGAGAGAGAGAGAGAGAGAGAGAGAGAGAGCGAGGGAGAGAGAGAGAGAGGGAGAGAGAGAGAGAGAGAGAGAGAGAGAGAGAGAGAGAGGAGAGAGAGAGGGAGAGAGAGAGAGAGAUAGAGAGAGAAAGGGUGGGAGGAGAAGCUGGGAGGAGAGUUGAAUUAAUGAAUUAAAAUGUCCUGGGUCCAGUUGAGUGACUGAACAGGCUACUUUUUCAUUUAUAAGGAGAGACAAGUGUAAACUUGAGAGAAGAGGACAAUUCAACUUCUACAUGAACCUGCGAACCAUCACAGCUCGAGAUGCAACGGGGGACAUUGCAACUAUUUUAUUACAUAAUAACUCUGUAAUGUUCAACCGGAACCGGUACAGACUGACACUUCAGUCUUAGAGAAACCAUUGAUUUGCCUUUGGUAAAUUCGGGAUUAGAUUCGUAGGCUACAGAAACUUGUUGAUUUUAACAGUUUGUAAAAAUGGUUUUAUUGUCAGGCAUGUUAGAAUUAUAAUGGCAAUAUCUCAAACUACAAUCAGGAUGGAAAUCUGUAGACAAUGAAAGUUGGGUGUCUCGUGCUCAUGCGUGUGAGAGAACUGUCAACAAGUGCGCAUUCCUCCAAUCCAUGACGUCGCACUGAGUAAAAAGUCAACAAAUAGGCAAAUUGAUCAUAACAUACAUUUUUUAAAUGUGUUUUGGGGGAUACAAACACUUUUAAAAGUCUCAAAAUUGCAUUCAACAAUUGCAACAAAAGGUAAGUGAUGACACACACAUUCUAAUUCAUGUGCCUACAUUCAGUUUGCUUUCAUUAGCUUACUAGAUCAUCAACAAUGAUUUGAUUAUUGUUAUCUUACAGAAUACGUAUGAGUUGUUAGCAGCAAAGCUAAUUGGUGAUUGUUCACCUGAGAGACGGCAGGGAGUUACAUCGAUCUGGUGGAAUAUAAAAGGGCCAGAGCUUGAUUAAAAGUUACACCUAUUAAGUUACAAAAGAGAACAGGAUGAGAACGCUAUUUAGCUUAGUACGCAAAGAGGACAAGGGCAGAGAGCACAGGUGCCCCCCACACACAGAGAACAGGAUGAGAACGCUAUUUGGCUUAGUACGCAAAGAGGACAUGGGCACAGAGCACAGGUGCCCCCUACACACAGAGAACAGGAUGAGAACGCUAUUUGGCUUAGUACGCAAAGAGGACAUGGGCACAGAGCACAGGUGCCCCCCACACACAGAGAACAGGAUGAGAACGCUAUUUAGCUUAGUACGCAAAGAGGACAUGGGCACAGAGCACAGGUGCCCCCCACACACAGAGAACAGGAUGAGAACGCUAUUUGGCUUAGUACGCAAAGAGGACAUGGGCAGAGAGUACAGGUGCCCCC
ensembl:lncRNA